GUUUUAUUGACAUGCCUCUGCUUCAAAACCCCUGAAGGGACCGCUCCACCGUCGAUAACCCUGCUUCAUAAUGCAUCAGCCGCUCACAAAACUGACCAGAGGUUAUGUGGGUCAUGCCGUGGCGACGCUGGGGGACGUGCACGGAGGGACACUGGCAGACAAAUGGGAGACAGGGAGAGGCUUAACAGAUUGAAGGCCAUCAAGGACAAUACGGAAAAAUGAACAACGACUAUUGUCGGAGGAAAUGCCGCAGGAGACUGACUGAUGGACGAGCAAAACAAGAGACGGGGGGAGAUGAAGCGGAGGAGGAGGACGGGUCGUAUUUCUGUCAUGCGGCGCCGUCCUUUGUUUGCUCAUCACAUGCGGUAUCUCUGCAUGGUCCUUGUAUUCAUGUCAGAGAUAAUUAUAGGAGGACGCCGCCAGUUGCCAGAUCAGUAGAUAGCGGACGGGAGCUGCAUCUAAGCGCGGCGUCUCUUCCCCCUACUGGGUUGCCAGAUUUGCGAAUGUCUUGUAUGACGCUGCAUGAGCUCGCAGCCAUGCCUCACCUUCUGCGUGUCCUCGAAGAAUAGCGUCACUGGGCUUCAGAUUUCUUCACCGUGUUUGUCUUGAAGGUCAAUGCAGUGGAGUUUAAUCAGAUCAGUCUCUCAGAAGAGGGUGAAGAGCAAAACAGACAACUGGAAAGACGUAUAAACAAUUUUCCUGACAGCCGAGGCUUUGAGACGGCAGCACCAGGAGGGAAGAGGAGGACGACGAAGAACCGGAACGUGAAGAACCACCAGCAGCAGCAACUACCACCUCUGAAAAUGCAUUCCAGUUUGCGACAUAUUUAAAAGGAGACCCUGCAAAGCCCUCUGUCGCAAGCAUCCGGCUCGGCUUACAUCACCCGAAAGACUUAUGCUGCGCCGGAUCAGCGUAAAGCCUGACAAGAUGUCCCGGGUGAUUUGCGAGGAGAACCUCUAGAGGUACUAGGAGCUGGCAGAAGGAGAGAUACCCGAGGCCUCUGGCGGGCUGAUAUCCGCCACGUCUGGCAUAUGACAUCUAAAGGACGGAUGGACGCUCCGUUACCUCGAAGCGCCUCUCAGGAGGUUCAAGCGUCCGAUUGGGAUGUCUCCUGACAUCCUUCUUCCAGAGGUUCUCCAGGCGUGUCCAACGGUAACGAGGGGCCCGGGGCAUCGGGCCUGAGGACAUCCUGGAGCUGUAGGACGUGUGGACCACAACAGACCAGAAUAGCAACCACAAUCAGAACAUCCAGCAUGACAGCCGUGGCAGACGCUCGCCAGUCC
ensembl:lncRNA